rnacentral:lncRNA from 1 species
AAGAUUUGUAUAUAAUACAAUUAAAAUUCUCCCAAACUUUUGUGCACCUAUACUUCCCAAAAUUACCACACCCAUCAAGUUACCUUUCUCUUAGAAAAAAUGAAGCAGUCAACUCAAAUAUUAGACAAGUUAGAUUGUCAUCCAGGCCUUCGAUUCAUCGGUAGUCCCCAUCUCAAUGUUUAUAUAUUUUUGUUUUUUCUUAUAAUUUUUUUCAAUAAUUAAUAAUAUUAAAAAGAUAAUUAAAGAUUACAAACGAUUUUUUAGCUUUUAUCUUUCUUUUUUCAACAAGUGUUUGAUUUUAAAAACUCUAGGUAUUUAAUCAGUCCAUUUAAAGGUUUUAAUUGUCCAUCAAUAUACUUAGAUAACAUUUAAAAAAAAAAUGUUGGAAGAAACAUUUGGCAUUUUUAUCUAUUUGAAACAUUAUAUUUCUAGAGAGAGAGAGAGAAGUCAAUCCCCACUCUGUGAUGAGUGACGGCUCAACCCUAAUUCCAUAUUCGUGAUUUUCGCUAAGAAUCUAUAAUUUAUUUAUUUUUUCAAUUUGUUCCUUUAUUAAUAUGAGUAAAAAGUUUCAUUGAUAACUUAACUUUGAAUAUUGUCAUGUUGUGGUCAUUGUACUUUAAUUUGCUAUUGAACGGUCAUUGAACUUACCAAAAGUGCCAUCCAUUAGUGACUCGGCAUCCAGUCGUUUGAAGCUAAGUUGAUAUGGCCACACGACAUCUGACUUGGCAGUUAACAAUGUCUCAAUAUAGCCACAUAAUGAGUUGCUCUUCCCAAAUGGCAUUUUUCUUUACUUACAAAUCAAACAAACGAUAUAUACCCUACACAAACGUAAAUCAGAAGCCCCAAAUCAAAAAUUCUUCCCCAAUCACAAACCCUAGAUCGUUAAUUGAUCUACCAAAAUUUGAUUCAAAACCGCGAAGGGAAUCACCAAAUUGAGAACGUAGACAAAAUCACACAAGCCCAGCUGCUUCCGCCCAUGGUGAAGGUAAUCCAUGAUUCAACGAUACGAAAUCGUACCUUGAAUAUCCUUUUUUCUUCGAAGAAUAUAUAUUUCGUACCCUUGAAUUAACAGAAGGAAUUUAUUUCGAAUGUUGUGGUUGCACAAAAUCAAAGAAAAUAAUUUAAAUACAAGUUAUUUAAUUUAUGGAUUUUAUAUUUUGAUAGUUUGUUUUUGGUGAAUUCUUCAAUCACCCACAUGGGAUUCAUAUCCGUUUUUCGUUUUGUGCUUUCAUUUUCAAAUUUGUUUCUUGUAGUCAUAGCACAUGCUUUCUAUGGAAAGUGAACUUAAUUUUAUGUUCAUUUUGUAAGUGGUAAUCGCACAAUCAAUUCAAUAUUUCUUGCAAUGCUCUAAUUAUGGAUGAAGGUAAUCAUUUAACCGUUGCAUAUUCAUUUGGCCUAGGAUUUUUGGUAGAGGAAGCUGAAUUAGAAAAAUGUUGUGUUAGUAUUGCAGUCAUUUCAUGUGGAAACCGGAAGGUGAUUCGAGUUGUGGUUGUUCAGGUACAUGUAAGGCUAAACAUCCCGAGCGAGAUCUGUCGUGCAUGUUUGAGCAAUGGGCUACCAUCAUAGAGAAAAAAGACGUUGAGAUCUCCAUUAAUAUCACUAUCCAGAAGGGAAAAGGAGUGACGGAAAAGGGAAUGGUUCCGUGAAUUAUUUCCGCCAAUGUGACGAGGCAAAGACUUUUGUUGGAGUUAUCACAUCCCAUUUUUUUUGUAAUCAGCACUAAACUUGUCGUAAAUUAUGUUUUUUGUACGUCAACGUCGUUUUAGUAGUUCACUUUGUUUUCCAACUCUUGUUGUAUGUCGAUGGCGUAAACUUGUCGAUGUGGUUUAUUUGAAUGCAUAAACAAUAUCUAUUGUGUUUGGUUUUUAUGAUUUGA